CAAGCCCAACCUCCUCCGCCGCCGCCGCCGCCGCGGCCGGCGGAGGAGCUAAGACUGAUAGGUUGUAUAUUAGUCCAGCCUUCAUGCUGGGAUGGAAUUGGAUUAAUGUUAUCUAGCCCAACCUAGCCGGCUGAAUGAAUUAUAAGCCAGAUUCUUUUUUUCGUCGGGUCAGGUCUUGGUCGAUCGAAACGACAUUGAUCCGGUCCCUCCGACGGGGGUCUGGGUCCCAGGGUUCGAGGAGGGUUUGCUUGGGGGAAGCGGACGGAGAUGCGGGGAUCCGCCGGUUCGCUCCUUCUCCGGUCUCUGCGAUCGUGAGGGUUUCGUCGUCGAGCUCCGACAAGAUCGUCGACGCUGUCCUCUUCGAGCGCCUCCGGGUCGUCAUCGCCCCGUCGUCUACGCCUUCUAAUAAUUCUCAUCGAAAGGAUCGGAUGAUGCUGAAAUAAUUUAUUUAAGUUUCCGUUGAGGCAGCACUAUGGGCGGAGGUAUCCUGAUAAGCUCUUAGGAAGGGGACAUGGAACGUAAAGUUUGCAUCUUUAUUGUCCGUUGGUUCGUUUUUGAUCCUUUGGGGUCUCUCGGUUUUAUGGGAACUCCAUUAGUGAUAAUUAGGAGAUUGAGUCGAAGCCCAAGUAACACCCAAAAUCAAACCUAACUCAAGGUUAAAAUAAAGUUCAAAAGGAAAUCCAUAAUAUGGUGUAUGGUGGGUCAGGUCUUCACGUGGUUCAUAGCAAUCCAUAGGUUCAUGGUGGUCUAUGGCUCAUAGGAAAGCAAAGUGGUGGAGUAGUGCACAAGGUAGAGGGGAUCCACACUGGGCUGUGUGCAUGCAAUGGGCAUGAACUGGAGCACGUGAGGGCUUAAAAGAGAAGGGGACCCACAUGAUGGACAUCUUGGUAUAACUGGGAGCAUGGAGCUAUGCAUGGGAUGUGUGUUGGAUCCAUGUGCUGUGCAUGGAAUGGAUGUUGGGCGUGGCUCGGCUUGGGCAUGCUUGCAGAGGCAAAAUAAAGGAGGGCUGGCUCAUGAAAAUAGGAACUCGGUGGUUUGGGAAGCAUUUGGAUGGUAACGUGUGGGACCAAACAAGCGGGCGCGAUUUGAAUUCGCUGGAUGUUUCGGCGGGCUUCUGUUGCAAACCAAAGUGGGCGGCAUGCGGUUCAAACGAGGAAGCUUCACGUGGGCUUCAAAUGAACGCGCUUAAUGUGCGUGAAAGCUGGCGAGCAGGGGUGAACAUGAAAGUGGGAACUGGUGAGCGCGUGUGGAUUCAAAAGUGCUAUCUUCACACGGAUGUGCAGCGGACCGACAGUUUAAAUACAUUAGUUCAUACGAAAAAAAGUACAAGGCUGUUGGAUGCGAAGCGAUAAGAUGAAGCGGGCAGAAUAAAUGCGAUGGGUUGUUGGAUGCAACAUGGAACAAACGCGUGGCAUGAAGUUUAUAAAAAGAAGGUCGCAGAGGAUCGAAGCAAGGAUUUUUUGAGGCCAC